AUGGAAAAGGUCAGGUACGCUUACGUCUGAUUCUUAUCGUGGAGUUUCUCAUUUCUUGGCCUUCUGUGAUUUUAUUUUUUUCGAAAUUUCUGGCAUGGAUUUGAAGGAUUGAGGGAAGGAAUCGUCAGGGGAAGUGAAUGUAGUUGGAUUUCGCAAACUGCUUUUCUGUGUUUUCUUUCCUUUUUCUUAUUUUUCUAGGUUUUUGUAAAUGUUCUACUUCUUUGAGUUUUAGUUCUUCAGUUAUUCUGAGUUAAUCUAGAGAUUGUAGGUUUUUUUUUUUUAAAAGGUUAUUGAUCUGAAGGAUUCUUGGAAAAUUUGCAAUGACUUCUUCAUAUUCUGCUGUGCCUUUGAGAUUACGCUCUCACCUAUUUGAAAUUUCUCAUGCAUUUGGGAAACACGCAUGCUUAAUCCCGAUUGUUUUUAUGUCUAUGCAAAUUCAUGUCUUUUCGUUUGAAUCAGGCAUUUGUGGUUCUGAUAUCUGCUCUGAUGUUCUACUGCGAAUUGGUGUUGAAAUUUUGAAAUCUGAUUUGUUCUGAUGGGUACCAAUCUCGCAGAUCUGCAAAUUGUUGAAAUUUCAGCGUUUCUGUUUGAAUCGGUUGUGGAAAUCGAUAAUAAGGUGCCUAUGCAUCAUCCACCAUGUUCUUGCCAGAGUAUCAAGCUUUGGAUUGUGAUCAUGUUUCUGUUCUUGCUGAUUUUGUGAGUAGAUAAUCAGUCUGAACCCUCCUUUGGGAGUCAAAGCAGGCCUUGCAAACGAGUUGUGGCCCAACUGACAAGCAAACUGUCCAUCAUCCUUGCAGCUACCACCUGAUGCCAGGAUCUUGAUGGAUGGAGGAUAUUAAAGUUGUUUAGAUGGCCAUGAGAUACAGAGCAUGUGAUGUUGCGAAGCAAAUGGAUCUUGAUCCUCUCCUCAGUGGAGCAGAACCAAGCCCAUCACAACCCAUUCUUUUGCCAACUGGUGCUCCCCACGACAGUCAUACUUCUAGCAGGCUUAGGAAGAGCUAUGAAUUGGUUCAAGCUGCUGAAAAAUCCUUGGAAGGGCCAAACUGCUCGUAUGGAAUUGAAGCAUGUAGUGAAGUACUAGAUAGAAAUGGUCCAGAAAUUGGAACCAAACUUAAGCAUGACUGCUUCUGUACUCGAGCAGCAUUGUUUCUCAAGAGGAAGUGGAAAAAUGAUGUUCAUAUGGCUAUUAGAGAUUGCAACAGAGCUUGAGCUAUUGAUUCUUCUUCGUUCAGGGCACAUUUCUACAUGGCUGAUGCACUUACACAGGUUUUUGUUGUGUUGCAGUAGCAUUUUGAUUCAUGUCACUACACCAAAAUCAUGAUUUUGGAACGGAGAGGGAUUUGGUUUAAAUACAUGGAAGCAUUCCCCCCAACCUAUGCCUUGUGUUUCCACACCUGCAACAGAUUUCUGUAGCUAUAAACCAAUUCACUGGAAGGCUGCCAAUUUCAUUGUCCAGCUUUUAUCCAAAAAAAUUAAUUUACAUAGCACAAAAGUAGUUAAAAACUUCUCAGGUUGGAAGCGAUAUUUGCAAUUUUCUUUUAGCUCUUAGCAUUCAUCAAGUUAGCAUGCACCAACAUUUACUCCAUGCUUUUAGUAGGUAUAUUGUAGUUCACCAAUCUGUUUCUUUUUAAUUGAGCAGCUUGACUUGAAUUGAUAUUUAUGUUCCAGGGAGCCUCCCAUGUAUAUUAGGAAGCUAAGCAUGUUCAUUCUUUUAAAGACAUCAUGCAAUAGAAACUCCCAUGUAUAUUCAGAAAUUUUUUUCUUGGAAAGGCCAUAGUUCUAAUCAUUCAAACUUUGUGUUCAGGGACAUCCGUGUUUUUCCAUUGUAUGAUGACCAUCCCACCUAACAUACAAUCGUAUUUCUUACAUGGAUAUUUUUUUCCAUGCAAAAUAUUCUUUUUUCCUUGAUUGUUCCUUUGCGUCAACUCUAGUAUUUUGCAUAAACUUCAGUUUUAAUUAUCUUUUCUGAACUUGGGUAUGAGUUUGGGUUUGAGCAUGUAGUUCAAUGGUAGAAAAUCUGCACUACAACAUUGAAACCUAUGGUAGUCUAGCUCACCUGGAUUGAAUGGGAGCUGCUAACAAAGGUCUUUAAACCAUGCAUUCUUUUCUUUCUUAUAACCAUGGCCCACUUAGAGAUUAGAUCAGGCCAAUUGGCUAGGCUGGGCCAUUCAUCGUUGGCCUGAGCAUGGCUUGGCCAUUAAUUGAGCUCCACUAUUAAGAUGCAUUUUCUGAAAAUAAUGUUGGUUCGCCGAUCCAUAUCAAACUUGGACGAGAAAAAAUAACAAUAAAGAGAAGUCCAACAGCCUAGAUUCAACAAAUAUAUGUCAAAUAUAUGUGGCUUACUUGAUAAGAGUGCCACCUUAAAGUUUUAUAUAUAGCAUGUUUAUCAUACUUGCAAGCUAAAAUGCUUAUUGUAUUGUGCAAAAACAGUUUCAUAUAGCCUACCUCAAUGUACUUAUCCCAAACAACCGGCUCUAUAAUGAUACAGUUUGAGUCAUCAUUCCAUCUAAAACUACUUUGAAUAGAUCUGUCAUGGAUGCCCCACUAUCUUCAAAUUGCAUGGAUUGGACAAUCUCGGCAAUCCAAUUGGCGGACCUCUUGAAUUUCAAUGUUGUCUAUUGCCAAAAUUGUUUUGUACCUACCAUUAGAAGGUCACCUUAUCUCAUAAUCUGAUAUGUGAAACCCACUAGAUGGAUGGACUUGGUCAUGGACCAUUGCACCUAUGUCCAGUUCAGUGCAGUGUCAGAUAAGGAAAUUGGUACAUUGUGCUGAGGCUAGCUUCCCCAUAUGUAAUUAUAUAUUUACCAAAGUAUUUUAUGAAUUUCCUUCUUGUAGUGGAGAGUGCUUAUUCUACUAGUAACCUAGCUAUCUUCAACUUGUACAGGCAUUACAUGUCCUCUAACAGUUGUAUGCUAUUUUUUCUUUUUCUUUCUAUUUAUUAAAAAUGAUUGUUUCUGUUUUGCAGGAAGAUUUAUGGCAGGCUGCAUUUCCCGUUAGCACAGAGGUUUGAGGAGCAAGAGGCUCCUGGUUCAAGGUCAUUCUUUACAGAGAUUAUUGCCUCGAUAUCGAUAUUAAGUUUUCGAAGGAUGGACCAUUGUAAAUUUAUUGUUAUAAAUAUAUAUAAUUUUUAUUAUAAAGUCGUACUAUAUUUGGUUAAUAUUAAUUUUUAAUUGUACU